CCCCCCCCGCGAACAGCAGCCGAACUUCGGUUAGUCAAGUGUGCCGCUGCAGUUCUGCUCCCAAAUCAGUAUCGACACUUUGAUCUUGCACAUGUUCCCUGAUCUACAACGCUUGGUUUAGCAUUCUAACUUAUCGAAUUCUCCCUGAAUAUUAAGAGAAAGUAUGCUACAAGUUAUUGUGAAAUUGAAAUAUUUCUUUCAGCAUACUAUUUGGCAUUAUGACUUAUUUUUCAUUCCAUGAUUCAUGCUGCCACUGGAGCCGAUCCUUCAGUAAAGGAGCAACUUUCAUCAUUAGCAUAGAAUUUCCAUUUCAAAACUCUGUUUAUCCCUCCCCAUGGCAGCUCCAGAACCCUUCUUUGCUCACAUCAUUGCAAAAUAGCAUUGCAUAUUUUAAUUCUAGAUAAGUGCUCAUAUGGAGAAUAAGACUAAAUGAGAUUAAAACAUGCAGCGAGGGUAGUAAAUCAGAGGUCAUGCAUAUUUCUUCUAAAUUCAUAGGUCAAGUAAAUCAUCCAAAGAAUUUUGAUCUUUCAGCUGGGUAGUCAAGUAAAUCAUCCAAAGCGCUCUAAUCUUUCAGAAGGGUAAGGCCUUCUAAAGGUGUAUAGUUUCUGAAUUUAUAUGUGUGCACUCAGCUUACACUAAACUGUCAAGUGCUGAUUUAUGUUUCUCUUGAGCUCCCAUGUAUAUGCAGAAAAAUCAUGGCAACAAGACCUCGAAGAAUAAGGAACUUGAACCUCCCGCAAGUAGAGGACGUAGAACCUGCUAAGGAUGAGCAUGACAAUUCAGUGGAGAAUGAUAGCAAUGAAAAUGUACAGGGUCCUCCUGAUAUUGAUGGUUUAUUGGCUCGCAUGCCACGCUACCAUCCUCGAAGUCCAAUUAAGAUAAUAUGGCCAAAUGGAGAGGUGCGGCAAGUUUUAGGUGAUUUCACAAUUUCAAAUCUAUUGCAAUUAGAAGGAGGAAAGGUAAUUGUAGGGACUGAUGAAAAUGGAGUCCCAAAUGAAAGGUCAGCCUCCAUCCUAGGUCAGCACCUUGGACAAAUAGCAGAAAAGCCAUCAUUAGCUCCUUUACACAUUCAAAGAUGGGACAAUGCUCUGUUCAAGACACACAAGGAACAAAUGAUCAAGGAUGUUGAGGAAAAGUUUGACUUCCCUCGAUCAACUAUACAGCUCACAAGGGAUUGGAUCCUAAGGACAGUUAACAAUAGAUGGAGAGCCUACAAAUCUAAGUUGAAGAAACAAUAUUUCAAUCCUGAAGAGAGAUCUCUAGAUGAAAUCAUAAAAGGGAAACCACCAACUGUGAAUGAACAUCAAUGGAGAGCUCUUGUUGGAUUUUGGUGCCAGGAAGCACAUAAGCUGACCUCAGUUUACACAACAAUGAUAUCAAAUUCCAAAGCAACAUAAGAAAUAGUGCUUCAUGACUCUUCUAUCUUUGCAGAAAUUAUGUGUCACAAACUCCCGAUGUGCAAAAGAACAGAAGAAUACCCACACAACAGGGCGAAAAAGCCAUGCUAGGCUGAAAAAAGAGAUGGAAGAUAACAAUAAAAGAAAGAUUCAUAGGCUAGAAUUGUGGGAGGCUGCUCAUAAAAAAAAGAAUGGUAGAUACACUACUGACACAGUAGAGACAUUAAUGGAAGCAUCUUUUGAGGAAUUACCAAAAAGGCAACAGAACAACAAUGGUAAUCUUUCAGCUCAAGAUUUUGAUGAGGUAUUCAAUGAGAUAGUUGCCAAGGACUUAAAAGCACGUGGGUACUAUGAUGACAAGUAUUGGAGUCAAAUGCGAGUUUCUCGAGGUGUAACCUUUGUUACUCCAUCUGAGGAAGAAACAAGGUACCAAGAGAAAGUAAAUGCAAUGGAGAAUAAGAUGCACCGCAUGACUGGUCUGAUGAAGCACUGGCUUGCUUUCAUGUCAAAAAAGUUUCCAGAAGAGGAUUUCAUAAAUGAAAUGGAAGGAGCCCUACAGGAUGAUGAAGAUGGUCUUAUGGAAAGAGAAUGUGAUACUGAAAGAAAUUCUGAACACUCAAGUGGUAAUGACUACUCUCCAUCAAUUGAUGUGCAGGAGGGUCAUGCAGAUAAGGGUGAUCCAGCCACUAACUUGUGAUCUAAUACUGUACAGACCAACAUGAGAUCUCGAAGAGUUAAAGCCCCCAGUUCAAACCAAUCUGAAUCGUGCGAAACGGAAGUCUAUCUUAUUUCACUGAGAAACAAAGGGAGAGUGGCGGCGAAAGGAAUGUUAAAGACUACUGAUAGCAAACGAGUUAUUGGUGGAAGCAUGCUUGGAACCGAAUUUGUUGGUGUUUAUGUUGAUGGAAUUGAAAAUAAGGGAGAUGAGCAGUUACCUCGGCCACUCUAUAGUAUUCAUACACUAAUAGAUGCUAUUGGCUUUAUCAUUUAUUGGCCCAAAUCACAUGUGAAAAAAGCUACGAGUUCAAAUCAUACUUGAACCAACUUGGAAAGAAGUUCAAGCCAUGAGUGGAAAGGAGAAAGAAAGGGCAAAGCAAGAUAUAUUUUAGUUGUUAGAAAAUUCUAGAAAUAUUUGUAUGAUACUGCUACUUUCUAUGUUUCUUUAAGAACAAAUUUGUUUUGUCCAGUGUACUUUAAUUAAUGGAUGAGUUGGUUCUAGAAUUACUCAGUUUGUUGUUUUGUGAAGGCAAUGAAUUGAUUGCAAAUACAA